UCAGAGUCGGAGAACGAGGAGGCGGCCGC
rnacentral:sRNA from 1 species